GAUCAUGGCUCAGGAUGAACGCUAGCUACAGGCUUAACACAUGCAAGUCGAGGGGCAGCAUGGUCUUAGCUUGCUAAGGCCGAUGGCGACCGGCGCACGGGUGAGUAACACGUAUCCAACCUGCCGUCUACUCUUGGACAGCCUUCUGAAAGGAAGAUUAAUACAAGAUGGCAUCAUGAGUUCACAUGUUCAAAUGAUUAAAGGUAAUUCCGGUAGACGAUGGGGAGUG
rnacentral:rRNA from 1 species